AUGUUAUCUCCCUUGCUGUCUUUUGUCCAGAAACAGGCUAUGAAUGGGUGGGCUGCCUGUAAAUGGACUGACCAGGAGAUGACAUGUGUUGGUAAAGGCCAGGUCAAUAUUGUGUACUGCAGGCUGAGGAAGCUGAAGGCCCACGGCUUGGAGAGCGCUAGGGAAGGGGCUGUGUUCUGGCCUAACCACUGGAGAGUCCAGCUGUGCCCCUGCGUCAGUUGCAAGAUGGCCUGCUGGAUGAGUCAGACACUGUCCUGGCCUGUGAGAACUGAGGCACUACAGAGCAAGGAACUGCUAGUCUCAGGCCUGGCAUAA
rnacentral:lncRNA from 1 species